rnacentral:lncRNA from 1 species
GAAACGUGAACUGGUGUCAGCCGCUUUGCAAACCUUUGAUGAUGAUCCACAAAAUUAUCGAAGCUGGAAAUCCUCAUUUCUGAAUGUCAUUAAAGACUUGUCCCUGUCCCCUAAAGAAGAAUUAGAUCUACUUGUAAAAUGGCUUGGACCAAAGUCAAACCAUCAAGCUAAAAGAAUCAGUGCGGCUCAAAUCAAUGAUGCCGCUGAAGCCCUUAACAUGACCUGGCAGCGCUUGGAAGAAACCUACGGAGCACCUGAGGUAAUUGAACAUGCACUCUUUCAAAAGGUUGAAAACUUCCCUAAGAUUACAGCUAGAGACUCAAGUAAACUAAGGGAGCUAGGAGAUCUCUUGCUUGAACUACAACUAGCUAAAGCGGAGGGUUAUUCACCUGGGCUAGCCUUUCUGGAUACAGCUCGUGGUGUUAAUCCCAUAGUGGAAAAGCUCCCUUACUCCCUACAAGAAAGAUGGAUCUCACAUGCAUCCAAAUACAAGGUAGAUUACAAUGCCACAUUUCCACCAUUUUCUACCUUUUCUAACUUUGUACAGCAGCAAGCACGCAUAAGAAAUGAUCCUAGCUUCUCCUUUCUGUCAGCAGCGCAGUCCAAGUUUGACAGACCUGUUAAAAACAGUACUCGCCCUAUGAUUUCAGUGAAAAAGACAGAAAUAGCACAGAGUAAUGAAACAACAGAUGUUAGUGAGGAUCCAGACAAACAAUGUCCUUUGCAUAAAAAACCGCAUCCCCUCAGGAGAUGUCGCAGUUUCCGCAGCAAGUCCCUAGAAGAGAGAAAAACAUAUCUGAAGGAUAAAAACAUAUGCUUCAAGUGUUGCGCAUCAACCAAACACCAAGCCAAAAACUGUCAGAUCAAAGUCACUUGCAAAGAAUGUGGGAGUGAAAGACACAAUACAGUGUUACAUCCAGGCCCACCCCCUCCUAACAGCAUCACACCGCCGACAGAGGUGAAACAGCAUGGCGGGGAGCCUGAGCUUAGCACACCAUCAGUCUCAGCUACAGCAAUGUGCACAGAGGUAUGUGGCGAACAGCGUGGCUCAAGGUCUUGUGCUAAAAUAUGCCUAGCCAAAGUGUAUCCAUCAGGUCAGAGGGACAAGGCAAUAAACCUGUAUGCUGUUAUGGAC